rnacentral:rRNA from 1 species
GAUGAACGCUGGCGGCGUGCCUAAUACAUGCAAGUCGAACGCUGGAGAUCUAGCUUGCUAGAUCGAAGGAGUGGCGAACGGGUGAGUAAUACAUAAGCAACCUACCCACGAAGACUGGGAUAAUCUCUGGAAACGGUGACUAAUACCGGAUAGGUAAUCGGAAGGCAUCUUCUGGUUAUUAAAGGGUAAAAACACUGGUGGAUGGGCUUAUGGCGCAUUAGUUAGUUGGUGAGGUAACGGCCCACCAAGACGAUGAUGCGUAGCCGGCCUGAGAGGGUGAACGGCCACAUUGGGACUGAGACACGGCCCAGACUCCUACGGGAGGCAGCAGUAGGGAAUUUUCGGCAAUGGGGGCAACCCUGACCGAGCAACGCCGCGUGAGUGAAGACGGCCUUCGGGUUGUAAAGCUCUGUUGUAAGGGAAGAACGGUAGAUAGAGAAUAUCUAAGUGACGGUACCUUACCAGAAAGCCACGGCUAACUACGUG